rnacentral:rRNA from 3 species
GCGACCUCAGCUCAGGCGGGGCUACC